rnacentral:lncRNA from 1 species
AAGCUUUUCUCUUGCAGGACCGUGUUAUGCUGGAUAUUUCUGUGAUCCUGGCUCCACACAGCCAGACCUCAGGCAUUGCCCCGCUGGCUUCUACUGCCCUGAAGGCUCUGAAUUCCCAAUUCCCUGCAGUCCUGGAAGCUUCAGCCCUGUCAGUGGGAAAGGGCAGUCAGCAGACUGUCAGCUCUGCCCAGCUGGGCACUCCUGCAGUGGUCCUGCAGCACAAACUCCUGAGCUGUGCCCUGCUGGGCACUUCUGUCCUCCAGGGACCACCUUCAGCACGGAGCACCCGUGUCCCAAGGGCACCUUUGGCCCCAGGACUGGUGCCACCAGUGAGUCUGACUGCGAGCCCUGCCCAGCAGGUGAGCAGGGACUGGGCACAGAAAAUGUGCAAAGCAUUUCUCUUUUCACCUUCCUGACCCCUCCACUGCCGUUCUGUGCAGCCCCUUCCCCUGACGUGGCUCUCUGCUUCUUUCAGGGAUGUAUUGCUCAGCUCCAGGGCUAUCCCAGCCAUCUGGAUUUUGUUACCCAGGCUACCACUGUGCCAAGGGAGCCAUCAGCCCAGCCCCCUUCAAGCACAGGGUGAGUGCCAGGCAGCAGCAGCACAGUCAUCUGGGCACCAGGAUGGCCUGUCACACUCUCCUGGUGACACCAGGAUGGCCUGUCACACCCUCCUGGCUGCUGGUGGCACCAGGAUGGCCUGUCACACUCUCCUGCUGACACCAGGAUGGCCUGUCACACUCUCCUGGCUGCUGGAGGGAUGUUUUCCAAGCAUUUCUGCUCCCUCAGCUGCAGGGAUGUGCUGCUCCUGAUGUCUGCUGGAAUACCUG